rnacentral:rRNA from 1 species
GGGACGUGCGGCGUUGCUAUACAUGCAGUCGAACGCUUUUUCUUUCACCGGAGCUUGCUCCACCGAAAGAAAAAGAGUGGCGAACGGGUGAGUAACACGUGGGUAACCUGCCCAUCAGAAGGGGAUAACACUUGGAAACAGGUGCUAAUACCGUAUAACACUAUUUUCCGCAUGGAAGAAAGUUGAAAGGCGCUUUUGCGUCACUGAUGGAUGGACCCGCGGUGCAUUAGCUAGUUGGUGAGGUAACGGCUCACCAAGGCAACGAUGCAUAGCCGACCUGAGAGGGUGAUCGGCCACACUGGGACUGAGACACGGCCCAGACUCCUACGGGAGGCAGCAGUAGGGAAUCUUCGGCAAUGGACGAAAGUCUGACCGAGCAACGCCGCGUGAGUGAAGAAGGUUUUCGGAUCGUAAAACUCUGUUGUUAGAGAAGAACAAGGAUGAGAGUAGAACGUUCAUCCCUUGACGGUAUCUAACCAGAAAGCCACGGCUAACUACGUGCCAGCAGCCGCGGUAAUACGUAGGUGGCAAGCGUUGUCCGGAUUUAUUGGGCGUAAAGCGAGCGCAGGCGGUUUCUUAAGUCUGAUGUGAAAGCCCCCGGCUCAACCGGGGAGGGUCAUUGGAAACUGGGAGACUUGAGUGCAGAAGAGGAGAGUGGAAUUCCAUGUGUAGCGGUGAAAUGCGUAGAUAUAUGGAGGAACACCAGUGGCGAAGGCGGCUCUCUGGUCUGUAACUGACGCUGAGGCUCGAAAGCGUGGGGAGCGAACAGGAUUAGAUACCCUGGUAGUCCACGCCGUAAACGAUGAGUGCUAAGUGUUGGAGGGUUUCCGCCCUUCAGUGCUGCAGCAAACGCAUUAAGCACUCCGCCUGGGGGAGUACGACCCGCAAGGUUGAAACUCAAAGGAAUUGACGGGGGCCCGCACAAGCGGUGGAGCAUGUGGUUUAAUUCGAAGCAACGCGAAGAACCUUACCAGGUCUUGACAUCCUUUGACCACUCUAGAGAUAGAGCUUCCCCUUCGGGGGCAAAGUGACAGGUGGGGGCAAGGGUUGUCGUCAGCUCCUGUCCUGAGAAGUUUGGGGUUAAAUCCCGCAACGAGCGCAACCCUUAUUUGUUAGUUGCCACCAUUUUAGUUGGGGACUCUACCGAGACUGCCGGUGAAAACCCGAGGGAAGGGGGGGGGGUGAGGAGUCAAAUACUUAAUUGCCCCUCUAUUAACUGGGGGGUCCACACUG